rnacentral:rRNA from 1 species
GAUGAACGCUGGCGGCGUGCCUAAUACAUGCAAGUCGAGCGAACAGACGAGGAGCUUGCUCCUCUGACGUUAGCGGCGGACGGGUGAGUAACACGUGGAUAACCUACCUAUAAGACUGGGAUAACUUCGGGAAACCGGAGCUAAUACCGGAUAAUAUAUUGAACCGCAUGGUUCAAUAGUGAAAGACGGUUUUGCUGUCACUUAUAGAUGGAUCCGCGCCGCAUUAGCUAGUUGGUAAGGUAACGGCUUACCAAGGCAACGAUGCGUAGCCGACCUGAGAGGGUGAUCGGCAAAACUGGAAAUGAGACACGGUCCAGACUCCGACGGGAGGCAGCAGUAGGGAAUCUUCCGCAAUGGGCGAAAGCCUGACGGAGCAACGCCGCGUGAGUGAGGAAGGUCUUCGGAUCGUAAAACUCUGUUAUUAGGGAAGAACAAAUGUGUAAGUAACUAUGCACGUCUUGACGGUACAUAAGCAGAAAGCCACGGCUAACUACGU